rnacentral:rRNA from 1 species
GACGAACGCUGGCGGCGUGCUUAACACAUGCAAGUCGAACGGAAAGGCCCUGCUUGCCGGGUACUCGAGUGGCGAACGGGUGAGUAACACGUGGGUGAUCUGCCCUGCACUUCGGGAUAAGCCUGGGAAACUGGGUCUAAUACCGGAUAGGAGACAUUUUUAGUGUGAUGGUUGGAAAGUUUUUUUCGGUGUAGGAUGAGCUCGCGGCCUAUCAGCUUGUUGGUGGGGUAAUGGCCUACCAAGGCGGCGACGGGUAGCCGGCCUGAGAGGGUGGACGGCCACAUUGGGACUGAGAUACGGCCCAGACUGCGACGGGAGGCAGCAGGGGGGAAGAUUGCACAAUGGGCGCAAGCCGGAUGCAGCGACGCCGCGUGGGGGAUGACGGCCUUAGGGUUGUAAACGCCUUUCGCUAGGGACGAAGCUUUUUGUGACGGUACCUAGAUAAGAAGCACCGGCUAACUACGUG